UGAGGAACAUGACCUUCGGCGGGGGAUAGCCGGCCCAACGGCCGGGUAAUACCGCGUACGACCACAUGGGGACAUCCCUGAGUGGUGAAAGCAGCAAUGCGCCGAUGGAGUGCCUCGCGGCCUAUCAGCUAGUUGGUGAGGUAACGGCUCACCAAGGCAACGACGGGUANCUGGU
rnacentral:rRNA from 1 species